UGGCUGCCUUGGGCCUAUAAAAAAACUUGAUGGCCGAAUCUGAAAGAUGGCGGAUCGAAGCAGAAUGAAAUGGUUUUGUUCCAGAUGGGCCGGUGGACUUUGGAUUAAGGUGGUUCCGGAAAUCUAAGGUAAUAAAAUUCAAUUUGGACCUGGGAUUUGGCCUUGGUUUGCUGCUUCCGUUCAGGAAAGGUUAUAAAUUCAGAUGGGACCUGAGCCGGAAGACUGGAG